rnacentral:rRNA from 1 species
GAUGAACGCUGGCGGCGUGCCUAAUACAUGCAAGUCGAGCGAACAGACGAGGAGCUUGCUCCUUUGACGUUAGCGGCGGACGGGUGAGUAACACGUAGGUAACCUACCUAUAAGACUGGGAUAACUUCGGGAAACCGGAGCUAAUACCGGAUAAUAUUUCGAACCGCAUGGUUCGAUAGUGAAAGAUGGCUUUGCUAUCACUUAUAGAUGGACCUGCGCCGUAUUAGCUAGUUGGUAAGGUAACGGCUUACCAAGGCAACGAUACGUAGCCGACCUGAGAGGGUGAUCGGCCACACUGGAACUGAGACACGGCCCAGACUCCUACGGGAGGCAGCAGUAGGGAAUCUUCCGCAAUGGGCGAAAGCCUGACGGAGCAACGCCGCGUGAGUGAUGAAGGUCUUCGGAUCGUAAAACUCUGUUAUUAGGGAAGAACAAACGUGUAAGUAACUGUGCACGUCUUGACGGUACCUAAUCAGAAAGCCACGGCUAACUACGUG